UCCUGGGAUUUAGCGCUCACUCUCUGCAGCUCCCAUUCCUGCCAGCCCCCAGCAACUGCCAGUGUAGUGCCAGCCCCCAGAACCGGCAUUUAGUACAGCCAUAAGCAUCUGCUUGUAAUGCCAACCUGUAGUGCCAGCUCCCAGUACUGCAGGCAUGAGUGCCAGCUCUAAGUGCCAGCAGAUCUCAGUGCCAGCUCCCAGUUCCAGUGCUUAGGGUCAGUACUGAGCAGCAGCCCCUAGAGACCAGUCAGGGUGCCCCCAGUGCCAGCCUUUAUACCAGUCUCCUGGUCUCCCCCACACCCUGGGGCACCCCACAGCCUGGCAAUGGACAGCUCCAUCUUUGAGAUUAUCAUUGAUGAAUUUGAAGGCAACUGCAGCCUUUUGGAUUUUUUUCAGGACAGUUUAUUCCACUCUGAUUCCUCCUCUUUCUCUGACUUCGAAGGUCCCUAUUGCAGCGCCACCAUUGACCAGAUUGGUACCUGCUGGCCCAGGAGCAUCGCCGGGGGGCUUGUGGAAAGACCCUGCCCGGAUUCCUUCAAUGGGAUUAGAUACAACACUACUAGAAGUGUCACCAGAGAAUGCUUUGAGAAUGGAACCUGGGCGUCCUGGAUGAACUACUCGCAGUGUGUGCCCAUUCUGGAUAAUAAGAGGAAGUACGCCCUUCAUUACAAGAUCGCUCUCAUCAUUAACUACCUGGGCCACUGCAUCUCCGUCUUGGCUCUCGUCAUCGCCUUCUUGCUCUUUCUGUGUCUGAGGAGUAUACGAUGCCUCCGGAACAUUAUCCACUGGAAUUUAAUCACUACUUUCAUCCUGAGGAACAUCAUGUGGUUCCUGCUGCAGAUGAUCGACCAUAGAAUUCACGAAAGCAACGAGGUCUGGUGUCGGUGCAUCACAACUAUUUACAAUUACUUUGUGGUGACCAACUUCUUCUGGAUGUUUGUGGAAGGAUGUUACCUACACACAGCGAUAGUAAUGACCUACUCCACCGACAAGCUUAGGAAAUGGGUGUUUCUCUUCAUAGGGUGGUGCAUUCCCUCUCCGAUCAUUGUCACCUGGGCCGUCUGCAAGCUUUUCUAUGAAAAUGAACAGUGUUGGAUUGGAAAGGAGCCGGGGAAAUACAUUGAUUACAUAUAUCAGGGGCCGGUGAUUCUGGUACUGCUAAUAAACUUUGUGUUUUUAUUCAACAUUGUGAGAAUUUUGAUGACAAAACUGAGGGCGUCAACUACGUCUGAGACGAUACAGUACAGGAAGGCAGUGAAGGCCACGUUAGUGCUCCUCCCGCUCCUGGGAAUCACCUACAUGCUCUUCUUCGUCAACCCCGGAGAGGAUGAUGUUUCUCAGAUCGUUUUUAUUUACUUCAACUCCUUUCUCCAAUCCUUUCAGGGUUUCUUUGUGUCAGUAUUUUACUGCUUCCUUAACGGGGAGGUCCGAUCAGCAGCAAGAAAAAGAUGGCACCGCUGGCAGGACCACCAUUCUCUCCGGGUUCGAGUGGCCCGAGCAAUGUCCAUACCAACAUCACCGACCAGAAUCAGCUUUCACAGCAUCAAGCAAACGGCAGCCGUGUGAUUGUAAUACCGCGAGAGACCACUAGGUUUCCCGUUCUUUGCCCUGGGCUUUUGUUUGUCUUUUUUUCCCCACUGUGGGGCGCCAUUGCGUGUUUGGUGGCGCCACAUUUACAUUUGUACAUGAAGCUUUAUUGCCAACAUGGGAGAUGGACUGAGAACACACAGCUGGAAGGCCAGGGCCUCAUUCAGAAGAACCAUUGGGUGGCGUAAGCACAAACUACAGGAGGCGCCACCUCCGCCAUUGAGUUUCUUCUUCUUUUUGUUUUUUUUAUUUAAAUGUUGUGCGUGGACAGUGACUUCAGCUCCUUUUCAUUGGUCGGAAGGUCGUUUGCGGUUUUAUUGCAGAUAUGACUGUAUAUUUGCCAAUGGGUAAAAUAGUGAAUAUUUUCAUACGUGCAUAUUUAUAAAUAUGGACAGAAAUGGAAGGGAG